rnacentral:rRNA from 1 species
GACGAACGCUGGCGGCGUGCUUAACACAUGCAAGUCGAACGAGGUAGCAAUACCUAGUGGCGGACGGGUGAGUAACACGUAGGUAACCUGCCUUAUAGUGGGGGAUACCCAUCCGAAAGGAUGGCUAAUACCGCAUACCCUUUAUCGUUGUAAUACGGUUCAGGAAAGAUUUAUCGCUAUGAGAGGGGCCUGCGUAUGAUUAGCUAGUUGGUGAGGUAACGGCUCACCAAGGCGACGAUCAUUAGCUGGUCUGAGAGGACGAUCAGCCACACUGGAACUGAGACACGGUCCAGACUCCUACGGGAGGCAGCAGUGGGGAAUUUUCCGCAAUGGGCGAAAGCCUGACGGAGCAACGCCGCGUGGGUGAUGAAGUCUUUCGGGACGUAAA